rnacentral:rRNA from 1 species
UACGUAGGGUGCAAGCGUUGUCCGGAAUUAUUGGGCGUAAAGAGCUUGUAGGCGGUUUGUCGCGUCUGCUGUGAAAUUUCGGGGCUCAACCCCGAACUUGCAGUGGGUACGGGCAGACUAGAGUGUGGUAGGGGAGACUGGAAUUCCUGGUGUAGCGGUGAAAUGCGCAGAUAUCUGGAGGAAUACCGGUGGCGAAGGCGGCAUCCUGGACCGACAUUGACGCUGAGGAGCGAAAGCUAGGGGAGCAAACGGG